AGAAUAUCCCCUUGUUUUUCUCAACAGUCCAAAUCCAUUCCGCGCCAUUUUAAGCAAAUAUUCUUCUCCAACAUCUCCGAUCCUCAUGGAACAUUUUCACCUCUCUCUCUCAAUCAUCUCCUCUCAAACAAUCCCUCUCUUUCUCUCUCCCAAUUCCCAACAAAAUCAAACCUUCAACCCCAUUUUCCCCUUUGGGUUCCUCCAACCCUACCCCAAAACCUUGCAUCCCCAGCACAACUACAUUCCCAUCUCAAUUUCAUGGACACACAAUCAGGGUUUAAAUUCUCAAGCCCGUUUAUGGAGCUAGGGUAG